UAAGGAAUAUUGGUCAAUGGACGCAAGUCUGAACCAGCCAUGCCGCGUGGAGGAUGAAGGUCCUCUGGAUUGUAAACUUCUUUUAUCUGGGACGAAAAAGGGAGAUUCUUCUCCAACUGACGGUACCAGAUGAAUAAGCACCGGCUAACUCCGUGCCAGCAGCCGCGGUAAUACGGAGGGUGCAAGCGUUAUCCGGAUUCACUGGGUUUAAAGGGUGCGUAGGCGGGUAUGUAAGUCAGUGGUGAAAUCCCCGAGCUUAACUCGGGAACUGCCAUUGAUACUAUAUAUCUUGAAUAUCCUGGAGGUCUGCGGAAUAUGUCAUGUAGCGGUGAAAUGCUUAGAGAUGACAUAGAACAUCGAUUGCGAAGGCAGCAGGCUACGGGAUGAUUGACGCUGAGGCACGAAAGCGUGGGGAUCAAACA
rnacentral:rRNA from 1 species